UACGGGGGGGGCAAGCGUUGUUCGGAAUUACUGGGCGUAAAGGGCUCGUAGGUGGCCAACUAAGCCAGACGUGAAAUCCCCAGGCUCAACCUGGGAACUGCGUCUGAUACUGGAUGGCUUGAAUUCGGGAGAGGGAUGCAGAAUUCCAGGUGUAGCGGUGAAAUGCGUAGAUAUCUGGAGGAAUACCGGUGGCGAAGGCGGCAUCCUGGACCGAUAUUGACACUGAUGAGCGAAAGCCAGGGGAGCGAACGGG
rnacentral:rRNA from 1 species